GUAACCAUGGAACUAUACUAAUGGAACACCAGCUUCGAGAUUUUAUGAUCAGAGUGCCGUCGCGCAUCUUUUUCGCGCACCAUACCAAUUUGAAAAAUCGAUGAGGAUGCCAAAGAAGAAAUUUACUCCGAGAGCCACUUGGAUUGACCUUCAUUGAGAGUAAAACUUCCCCACACUAUAUUUUAUUAGAUCUGUAAAAACUUUAUCCAUUUUCUGACUAUCUGAUAAAAUAGAUACAAUUUCCCUGAAUAAUGGAUCGUCACAAAAGAUUUUUUUUUAAGGCCACUUCAUUAAAAUAGGUGUUUCCAGUACUUCCUCAUUUGGGUAUUUUACACAAAAUCUGGAUUUUUUUAAUGUACAUGUCAUUUUUAUCAUCUGUCCCGCGCAACCAAACCAUCCACUUUUCCCGGUCACCAAUGUUCUUAACAAGAUAUCAAGAGAGAGAGGCUGGUCCAUUAUUUGCGUAGUCCAGCCAGCUUUUUUUUUUUUUUACAACCUUUUUUCGUUCUCUCUCAUGAAGGAUAUGUUUUGAAAAUUAGUCUUACAAAAUACAAUUCCAAACCAACUCAUGCAGUUAUCGUCUUUUCACAGUAUUGAGGAGUCAUCCUUUUUGCUAGCCAGAGUGUUAAUUGGCAAAAGUGAAAAAUUCAUUUUCUUUAUUUUUUUUAAGUAAAUAUUCAUAACUAUAUCUUUUAUAUAAUAAUAUAUUUUUAAAAUAAUAAUCUUUUAUAUAGACAUGCUUUAAUAGAUCUAAUAAAUGAUUAACUCGGACCUACCAAUAUGGGUAUAUAAAUACUUAAAUCUGGGUAUUUAAAAUUUCGAAUGCGAAUUUUUAAAAAACCGAACUUAUAUUGAUCUAGAUCUCUUGUAUAAUAUCUAGAAUAAUAUAGAUCUACAACACCUAGGCCUAGACUAAAGUUAAAGACUAAGGUCUAGAUUUAUUUAAAGUUUUAAAAAAAAUCAAUAGAUCUAAUAUAGACAGUCAUGAGAUCCACUCUAUUUUAUCUAGAUCUAGACCAUACAUGAGAUCAAUAAUUGUCAAUAUGAAUAUUUAUAGAUCUAGUCAAAUCUAGUGACUCUAGUCUAGAUUCUAGAUCUAUCGAUCAUCUAUGAUCUAGUCUGUCUAUAGCUAUACUUACUAUUAUACACUUUUACAGUAUAUGAGUAUACUCAUACGAGUCAUACUGGCUAUACUAUAGUAUAGACACUAUAGUUAGUAUAGUUAAUACUUUUUAAUAGUAGAUCUAUAUUCUAUAAUCUAUCAAUUCUAUCUAAAUUAUUCUAAAUCUAGACUUCACUUUCACAUCACAUUCAGUCAUUCACACGAUAUUUGAUACAGACAGUGAAUGAAACGAAUGCAGUAGUUAUACUGAUUAUACUUAAUGUGACGAUACUACUUAUAGAUCUACCAGUUGAUAAACAACAUCAUCAUAGAUAAUAAUCUACAUCUAUAAUCAUAGUGCCCUUUAUUUAGUCAAUAUAGUCAAGUCAAGGUAGUGGAACGUAAACUCGAAGGUUUAAUACAAUACGGUAUGAGUCUAUGAGUUAGUAUAAGAUCUAAUUAUUUUGUUACUUUGUAUGUGACAGUAUGUCAAUGUCUCAAUUAAAAUAAUUAAUAUCACCAGCCAUAUCAUUUUAAAUAUUUAAAAAGUAGACAGAUUUUUAUUAUAUUAUAAAUAGAUAGAUUAGAUCUACAUAUAAUUUUACAAACUUUAGAAAUGAUUGAUUUUAUUUUUUAUUGAUAAGCCUUCUAGACUAGAUCUAGCAUCUCUAGCUAGACUCUAACAUGUAGAUUGUAGAUCUUUGAAUUGGAUCGAUAUUCACCUUCCUAAAUUGUCUCUAAAGUCUAUAGCUGAUUUGGGAGGCCCAACGAGGCAAGACGAGUCUAUUAGUACUCUGUCUCUUGAUCUAUCUAGUAGGCCUACUAAGCUAGUGCAUUAGCCAUAGUGUAGUCAAAUCUUGACAACUAGUCUUCUAGAUCUAAGCUUCUAGAAUAAUUAGAUCUAGAUCCAGUUUAGAUUUAGAGUAUAAAAGUUUUUACUACCUAAAAUACUAAAUCUACUGAUCUAAAUUCUAGAUAUAUAGAUCCAGUUCAGAUUAGGAUAUAAAAAUAUUCCACUAGCUAAAAUUCUAAAUCUACUGAUCUAUACUUAAUAUGUUAGAUAUUAUAUGACAUCUAUCUACAAAAAUUAUUAUUAAGUUAUAAUUAUAGAUUCUAGACUAGUUAUAUAUGUACAUAAAAUAUAUAAAUAAAAGAUAAAAUUUAUGCAGGCCUAGGUCCCAUAAAUUUAUAAUUGAUCCAGAUCUAUCAGUAAAAGUUACCUUCGAUUGGCAGUUUUACCCAAUCUAAUCUAUACAAGACAAUUUAUAAUCCAUGCCUUGCCUACACCCCAUGUAUAUUAGUUUCCAUUCCAUGCCAUACCCAGACCCAUGAGUUCAUGAAAUAAUAAAUGAUGUGGUGUCAAGUUGGAUCUAUCCCCUGAAAUUCAGUACUUUAAUAUAAAACUCACAUAUCUAGUUAAUUAUUUGCUGACACUCUGAUUAACUUGGACUUGUGUGAUACAUAUAUGUUUCUUAUCAGAUUUAAUUAAUGAAGUUUAGGUGCAUUUUAACCAGUAAUAAGGCUACAAAAGUAGCAUCAGGUGUAUUCUAACCAUUGGUAUUUUUCCUGGCAACAUUUCUAUUCUAGUCUGUGAUAAAUUAUAAAUAAAAAAAAAUGUUUGUAAUGUUUCAGUUAUUAACAAGUAGAACCAUGGCAACCAGUUCUGAGGAUGUACCAGAAUGGCUCAAGGAUCAUACUUAUACUAUUUCUACUCUCUGGGCAUCCAUUCAAUAUUUAAUUUAUGUUUGGAAAUGCAAGAAAAAGGCAUGCAUUCCUGAAAAGUCAAUGAUUGGUUGCACCUCUUAAAGAUAACUUUCUGUUAUGAGAAAAGAUGAGAUUCUUGGACUCCUGCAUAGCACCACCAGAAAGGAAAAUCCCAUCAUGUUGCAAAAUAAAAGUCUUGGACCAAUUUUAAUUUAAGAUAUAUAUAUUAUACUGUAAGCUGUAUACAUAUUUAUGUAUAUCCUGUCAUUCAGCCAACAGGUUUGGAUUUAGUAUUUCUUUAAAUCUCUUUGAUAUUGUACUUGAAAACUAUUAAUCUGAGCCCCAUUAAAACAAGAGGGAGUGCAGUGGAUGAGUGGUAAGGGAAAUUUUACUUUUUUUAAAUUAAAAUAAGAAUCUAACAAAAGUAAACAUAUAAAAUAUGGUGCAUUCUCCUUAAAACUAAAACCUGGUGCUAAGGUUUAAAAUGUUGGCAAAAAAAAAAGCAACAUCAAUUAAAUAUUCUUAAUUCCCUUUGCAAAACUUACUGAGAAGAACAUGCAUGUUGUUCCCUCAUAAGUUUCUUGACAGAGGAAAUCUUGUUUAUAUUAGAUUUGAAUUAAGCAAAUUAAGAAAAAAAUUAUAAUCAUUAUUUCAAAUGGUUGUAUCUAAACCUUAUGAAUUAUUUUUCAGUUAUAAGUAUAUUGAAAUGAAUGGAUAAUCAUGAAAUUGUUAAAUAAUUGCUGCUAUCAUUCCAUUGACUAAAGAACCAUAAUUUUUUUUUUUAAUUAAUUUCAAAAUUAAUUAAUUAAUUAAUUUUCAAGCAGAGUUCACAUAGAUCUUGAGUGAAAUUUUUCUUUUUUUGACUAAUGCUUCAAUUUUAUUGUAUCAUUAGUUUUUUAUUUUUAUUACCCAGAAUAUUUUAAAAAUGAGUACACUAUUUUCAUGUAAUAAUGUAACUUGGUAUUCACACAUCAAAAUACGCUAUAAUCUUUAGGCCAUAUAGAUUUGUAUAAAUAUAAAUGAACUUGCUUAAAUACAUUGUAGAUGUAUAUUGUUUGGAUAAGAAUAAAGUUUUUCUGUAGACAAUUAUUGUUCAAGAUUUGUUGAUGCUCCUGCUUAAUAAAUUAUAUACACAGGUCAUUAGUUUUAACACACUACUGACACAAGAAAAACUGGUCGCCCCCACUUCCAUUACAUAGAUGUAAUAAAACGUGACCUCAAAUCAGUGAACAUCAAUACUGACAAUUGGGAAGACAUAGCUUUAGACCGCAACAGAUGGAGAGACAGUGACCAAGAAAGCUAUGGACAGUGAAAGUACAUAGGUCUCAGCUCAGGAAGAAAAACGUACAAUCCGAAAAAUGGCCAGCUCCUCUACCACCGAAGCAAAAACCACCUUAACCUGUGCUAUCUGUGGAUGGGAGUGUCUCUCCGAAAUAGGGCUCCACAGCCACAUGAGGAAGUGUGCUCUGAGAUGAAACCUUAGUCUUUCUAUUUCUACGACUGAAGGAGGCCAAUGAUGAUGAUACAGGUCAUUAGUUUUAACACGUCUGAUAAUAAAUGACAGUACAAGUUAUUGAAUGAAAAUUUGUCAUUAUUUCAGGUGCUUUAGGCCUACAUCAAUGUGAGGUACCAGUACUUUGAUUGUGUCAUAUAACAAUUUAAAGCAACAUUUUGAAAUGAAUAGUGUGUAGAAUUGACAGUAAAUACAUUUAAGUGAUGGGCUGUGAUCUGCAUGAAUUGAAUUUGUGUUUUUGAUCUUUACUUCAAGUAAAUGUUAAUGAACAAUUAAUUUUUAAUGAAUAAAUAAUUUAAAAAUAAAUACAAAGAAACCAUAAACAUCUACUUUAUUUUAAUAAUUUUUUUUCAUCAGAACAGAAUUUCCAACUUUGCAUUCUUAAAAUAAAAUAUAAUUUAUUUAGAG